GACGAACGCUGGCGGCGUGCUUAACACAUGCAAGUCGAACGGAAAGGCCCUGCUUUUGUGGGGUGCUCGAGUGGCGAACGGGUGAGUAACACGUGAGUAACCUGCCCUUGACUUUGGGAUAACUUCAGGAAACUGGGGCUAAUACCGGAUAGGAGCUCCUGCUGCAUGGUGGGGGUUGGAAAGUUUCGGCGGUUGGGGAUGGACUCGCGGCUUAUCAGCUUGUUGGUGGGGUAGUGGCUUACCAAGGCUUUGACGGGUAGCCGGCCUGAGAGGGUGACCGGCCACAUUGGGACUGAGAUACGGCCCAGACUCCUACGGGAGGCAGCAGUGGGGAAUAUUGCACAAUGGGCGGAAGCCUGAUGCAGCAACGCCGCGUGCGGGAUGACGGCCUUCGGGUUGUAAACCGCUUUCGCCUGUGACGAAGCGUGAGUGACGGUAAUGGGUAAAGAAGCACCGGCUAACUACGUGCCAGCAGCCGCGGUGAUACGUAGGGUGCGAGCGUUGUCCGGAUUUAUUGGGCGUAAAGGGCUCGUAGGUGGUUGAUCGCGUCGGAAGUGUAAUCUUGGGGCUUAACCCUGAGCGUGCUUUCGAUACGGGUUGACUUGAGGAAGGUAGGGGAGAAUGGAAUUCCUGGUGGAGCGGUGGAAUGCGCAGAUAUCAGGAGGAACACCAGUGGCGAAGGCGGUUCUCUGGGCCUUUCCUGACGCUGAGGAGCGAAAGCGUGGGGAGCGAACAGGCUUAGAUACCCUGGUAGUCCACGCUGUAAACGGUGGGUACUAGGUGUGGGGUCCAUUCCACGGGUUCCGUGCCGUAGCUAACGCUUUAAGUACCCCGCCUGGGGAGUACGGCCGCAAGGCUAAAACUCAAAGGAAUUGACGGGGCCCCGCACAAGCGGCGGAGCAUGCGGAUUAAUUCGAUGCAACGCGUAGAACCUUACCUGGGUUUGACAUGGAUCGGGAGUGCUCAGAGAUGGGUGUGCCUCUUUUGGGGUCGGUUCACAGGUGGUGCAUGGCUGUCGUCAGCUCGUGUCGUGAGAUGUUGGGUUAAGUCCCGCAACGAGCGCAACCCUUGUUCACUGUUGCCAGCACGUUAUGGUGGGGACUCAGUGGAGACCGCCGGGGUCAACUCGGAGGAAGGUGGGGAUGACGUCAAGUCAUCAUGCCCCUUAUGUCCAGGGCUUCACGCAUGCUACAAUGGCUGGUACAGAGAGUGGCGAGCCUGUGAAGGUGAGCGAAUCUCGGAAAGCCGGUCUCAGUUCGGAUUGGGGUCUGCAACUCGACCUCAUGAAGUCGGAGUCGCUAGUAGUCGCAGAUCAGCAACGCUGCGGUGAAUACGUUCCCGGG
rnacentral:rRNA from 1 species